UACGUAGGGUGCAAGCGUUAAUCGGAAUUACUGGGCGUAAAGGGCUCGUAGGCGGCCAACUAAGUCAGACGUGAAAUCCCUAGGCUCAACCUAGGAACUGCGUCUGAUACUGGAUGGCUUGAAUCCGGGAGAGGGAUGCAGAAUUCCAGGUGUAGCGGUGAAAUGCGUAGAUAUCUGGAGGAAUACCGGUGGCGAAGGCGGCAUCCUGGACCGGCAUUGACGCUGAGGAGCGAAAGCUAGGGGAGCAAACGGG
rnacentral:rRNA from 1 species